AAUUUCGUGGAGGCUCGAACCGUUUAGUGUUGAAAAACUAUCGGAUGACUUGUGGGUAGCGGUGAAAUUCCAAUCGAACCCGGAUAUAGCUGGUUCUCCUCGAAAUAGCUUUAGGGCUAGCCUCAAGAUAGUGACGUGGAGGUAGAGCACUGAAUGGUCUAGGGGCACUUAGUGCUACCAAAACCUAUCAAACUCCGAAUGCCACAGUCAUGUUUCUUGGGAGUCAGACUGCGGGAGAUAAGUUUCGUAGUCGAGAGGGAAAGAGCCCAGACCACCAACUAAGGUCCCUAAAUCCAGAUUAAGUGGGAAAGGAUGUAAAGUUACACAGACAACCAGGAUGUUGGCUUAGAAGCAGCCAUUCAUUUAAAGAGUGCGUAAUAGCUCACUGGUCGAGUGGCUUUGCGCCGAAGAUUUCCGGGGCUAAAAUCUGGUACCGAAGUUGUGGAUUCGUAAGAAUGGUAGAGGAGCAUUCUGUACGGGCUGAAGCUACACCGUAAGGAGUGGUGGACUGUACAGAAGAGAGAAUGCUGGCAUGAGUAGCGAUAAGGCGAGUGAGAAUCUCGCCCGUCGAAAGCCUAAGGUUUCCUGAGGAAGGCUCGUCCUCUCAGGGUUAGUCGGGACCUAAGCCCAGGCCAAAUGGCGUAGGCGAUGGACAACAGGUUGAGAUUCCUGUACUGUUUACAUGCGUUUGAGAGAUGGGGUGACGCAGGAGGAUAGGCUAUACGUACUGUUGGUUAUGUACGUCCAAUCCUGUAGAGAGCUCCUAUAGGCAAAUCCGUAGGAGAGUCUCAAGAGGUGAUGGGGAGCGAAAAAUAAGUAGUGAAGUAGCUGAAUCCAUACUGCCAAGAAAAGCCUCUAUCGAGUAUGUAAAUACCCGUACCGCAAACCAACACAGGUAGGCGAGGAGAAAAUCCUAAGACGUUCGGAAGAACCCUUGUUAAGGAACUAGGCAAAAUAACCCCGUAACUUCGGGAGAAGGGGUGCCGACUAAGGUGAAGCACUUGCUGCGUAAGCUUUAGUUGGCCGCAGUGAAUAGGCCCAAGCGACUGUUUACCAAAAACAUAGGUCUCUGCUAAGUCGAAAGACGAUGUAUAGGGGCUGACACCUGCCCGGUGCUGGAAGGUUAAGGGGAAGAGUUAGCGUAUGCGAAGCUCAGAACUUAAGCCCCAGUAAACGGCGGCCGUAACUAUAACGGUCCUAAGGUAGCG
rnacentral:rRNA from 1 species